rnacentral:lncRNA from 1 species
CUUUUCUCUCUCUCUUGCUUCUUGCUCUCUUGCUUCUCGCUCUCUUGCUUCUUACACUCUUGCUCCUGAAGAUGUAAGCAAUAAAGUUUUGCCGCAGAAGAUUCUGGUCUGUGGUGUUCUUCCUGGCCGGGCGUGAGAACGCGUCUAAUAACAAUUGGUGCCGAAUUCCGGGACGAGAAAAAACUCGGGACUGGCGCAAGGAAGAUCCCUCAUUCCAGAACCAGAACUGCGGGUCGCGGUAAUAAAGGUUCCCGUAAAGCAGACUGUUAAGAAGGAUUCAACUGUAUGAAUUCAGAACUUUUCAGCUGGGGAACGAGAGUACCAGUGAGUACAGCUUUACGAGGUAAGUCUGAUCUUGAACUUUCUAAGGAAAUUCAAGACAGUCUAUCAGAAGUAAAGUGGAAUAUGUUUGGCCUUGAAUUUUUUCUAGUGUUAGAAGCCCUUUUGUUCCUUUUCACAUGUUAUCAAGUGGUUAAGGCAGGGAGGAUUCUAGAGGAAAUUCAGGACAAGCUAUCAGAAGUAAAGUGGGGAGAGAGAGUAGGAACAAAGAGGAAAUAUGGUACACAAAAUAAGCAUACAGGCCUUUCCAAGGGUCUUGAACCCGAGGAAAAGUUAAGGUUAGGUAGGAAUACCUGGAGAGAGAUUAGAA